UACAAUGAGCGGGAAGGGAGGCGCCUGGGCCAAUUUUAGUUGUGACUGACAGGCAGACGCCGACCUGCUAGUCAACAUUAGGACGUACCAAACCAAGGAAGCUUCGUUCCUUCCUCGUAGGCUUGCUUGCUUGCUUGUACGGACUACGGAGUACACAAGCAAGAACCAGUUUUAGCCAUCGCCAUUAUCCCUCCUCAGCAACAUCCUCGUCGCCAACUCCUACAGUGCAACUGCCAUGCAAGUCUUCAAAGCGAGCCUUCGCCAAGCCCCUCUUAUCGGUUUCCCUGCACAAGACAUAUCUUGUCUGUCUGGCACUACGAUCCCCACUCAAACCCCCUCGCCCUGGGGAUUGGGGAAUCCAAGAACGAAACCGACUACGAGUCUGAGACCUGUCCUGCUACGCUACUCCAUACAGUGCUAGUAAGUGAGACUAUGCCCGCCCACCGACUAGCCUGGCCCGGAUCAUAUUUGUCAUAUCGUUCAAAUGUCAUGGCCCAACCAUUCUUCUAGCCGUCGGCGCUCUCGUCCAUGACUCUCAAUACUACAUAGUCCCAAUGCUGAACUUGAAACACACAUUCAAGCAUUGCAAUGGUACGUGCGUACGUCUAGAGCCCAAGUCUAGACCCAUCUAAU
rnacentral:lncRNA from 1 species